GAUGAAGAACGUAGCGAAAUGCGAUACUUGGUGUGAAUUGCAGAAUCCCGUGAACCAUCGAGUCUUUGAACGCAAGUUGCGCCCGAAGCCAUCAGGUUGAGGGCACGUCUGCCUGUGCGUCACAUAUCGUUGCCCAAUGCCUAUUGCAGUGCAAUAGGAAUUUCUAGGGCGAAUGAUGGCUUCCCGUGAGCGUUGUUGCCUCGCGGUUGGUUGAAAAUCGAGUCCUUGGUAGGGUGUGCCAUGGUAGAUGGUGGUCGAGUUAGAACGAUACCGAUCAUGUGCAUGCUCCCCAAAAUAUGGCCUCUAUGACCCACACGCGUCUUUUGACGCUCAUGACGAGACCUCAGGUCAGGCGGGGCUACCCGCUGAAUUUAAGCAUAUCAAUAAGCGGAGGA
rnacentral:misc_RNA from 1 species